AGCGGCGCCAGCGGCCCGACGGACCCCAGCGGCACCAGGGGCGGUGGUCCUCCAUUCCCAGGCUGGGAGGAGCCGUGCCGCGCGGCGCUGGGUCGCCAGGACAACUCCGCGGUUCCCCGCCCCGCCUCCAGGCCCCGUCAGGAGCUGCCAGCCCGGCUCAGAAGCCCGGCCCGGGGCCAAGGUCACCGCAGCAGGCCAGGCCCCUGCGUUCCGAGCCGGGUCUGGCCUCUUUGGCCUGCCCCCGUCAGCUCUGCUGCCCCAGGUCAACGACCCGCCCGCCAACAACAGCCAUGGCCGGGUCCCCGAAGAGGGGGACGCAGAGGUGAUGCAGCUGGGGUCUGGCUCCCCACCUCCUCCCCACGGGGUUCAGCCCCCUGAGACCACCGGUCCUGAGCCACCCCCGCCCCUCGUGCCGCCGCUGCCCGCCGGAAGCCUGCCCCCGUACCCGCCAUACUUCGAAGGCGCCCCCUUCCCUCACCCGCUGUGGCUCCGGGACACGUACAAGCUGUGGGUGCCCCAGCCACCGCCCAGGACCAUCAAGCGCACCCGGCGGCGUCUGUCCCGCAACCGCGACCCAGGACGCCUCAUUCUCAGCACCAUCCGCCUGCGGCCGCGCCAGGUGCUCUGUGAGAAGUGCAAGAGCACGCUGAGCCCCCCGGAGGCCAGCCCUGGACCCCCAGCCGCGCCCAGGGCCCGCAGGAGGCUGGGCAGUGGCCCGGACAGGGAACUCCGCAAGCCGGAGGAGCCAGAGAACAGCGACCCCAUGACUGGGGCCACGGCCAGGAGGAGCAAGAGGGAGAGGCGAGAGGAGGACAGGGCACCGGCAGAGCAGGUCCCGCGGAGCCCGGUCAUCAAGAUCUCCUACAGCACACCCCAGGGCAAGGGAGAGGUGGUCAAGAUCCCCUCCCGCGUGCACGGCUCUCUGGAGCCCUUCCGUCCCCAGCAGGCCCCCCAGGACGAUGGCAGCCUGGACCCUGAGGUGCUGGACAGAGAGUCCCGGGACCGGCCGUCUGGCGCACCCUCGGCAUCCAUCCCCAAGCUGAAACUGACGCGGCCCGUGCCGCCCAGCGCGGACCUGCCGCCCCCCAAGAUCCGCCUGAAGCCCCACCGCCUGGGGGACAGCGAGCACGAGCCCGUGUACCGGGCCGAGCUGGUGGAGGAGCUGAACGGGUACCCGCGGGCCAGCUCGCCCGCGCCCUGUGCGGACGGCCAUGCUGGUGGGCUGGGGGACUUGUCUUCCGGAAGUUCAGGUGAGGACGAUGACUUCAAGAGCUGUCCCCAGGGCGCACAGGGAGGUGAGGACUUGGCUUUUCUUGUCAGCUGCCCUGAGGGGAGAGCGGACUGUGCCAGCGAGUCAGCGUGCAGCAGCGACAGCCUCGACGAGGCCAGAUCGUCCGGCUCGGAAGGGACACCGGCAGACACGGGUGACCUCUCCCCUGGCCACGGCGCGUCGGCGCCCUCCGCGUCCAGAGAGGCUCCCCAAACCGUGCCGCCCCUGACGGUCAGGCUGCACACACAGAGCGUGUCGGAGUGCAUCACGGAGGACGGCAGGACUGUGGCCGUGGGGGACAUCGUGUGGGGUAAGAUCCAUGGUUUUCCUUGGUGGCCGGCGCGUGUUCUUGACAUCAGCCUCGGCCAGAAGGAGGACGGAGAGCCGUCUUGGCGAGAAGCGAAGGUCUCGUGGUUUGGUUCUCCAACUACGUCGUUCUUGUCUAUUUCAAAACUCUCCCCUUUCUCUGAAUUUUUCAAACUGAGAUUUAACCGUAAGAAGAAGGGGAUGUAUCGGAAAGCUAUAACCGAGGCUGCAAAUGCUGCGCGACACGUGGCCCCGGAAAUCAGGGAGCUCUUAACCCAGUUUGAAACGUAACUGGUUCCCUGACCAGAUCAGAGUGGGAGCCGCCUCCUGCACACGAUGGGCCAUCCCAGGACAUCGAAGGAGGGAGGGCGAGGACGUCCCCAAGUGAGGCCCGAGGCCUUGGCUGGCAGGGAGUGCCCAACCGGGAGGACAGGAGGACGCAGUCUUGCAGGCUCAGGGCCGGCUGUGUUUAUCCGGAAGUAGAGGAAGAAUCUCACCAGACGGGUUUGCCUGCCUCCACGGGGGGCAGUGCCUGCGCUCGCUCGGGGCCUGCGCCCGCACGGGGCCCGCGCCAGGACCAGCCCCCUGCUCUGGGAGUGGGGGUGCCAGAUCCUUUCAGCACCAAAGCGCAGAGUGGUGCGUGCCUGCUUGGGUUUUUGGUGUCUCGUGGGGCCUGGGAUCUCCUGCCCUCUGUGGGGUUGGUGGUCCCUGGGGGACACGUUUGCUUUGAAGUGUCAGCAGUGCACCUCUGGUCUGCUCCUUGUAGGGGAAAUGCAGGGGUACCUGCCUUUCCUGGGAAGGGGGACCCGCCAACACCACCAUGAAGGUACACCUCCCUGAGCAGAGGCUGAGUGAGGUGUGGGGCGCUGGUGGCCAUGCCCAAGGGAGGGGCGGGAGGAGGAGGCUGGCAUGGGGGCUGGAGCUCGGGCAGGGAGGCCUUCUGGGGAAGGUCGUCCUCCCAGUCCCCGCCCACUGGCCACCCUGGCCUGGCCCCAGCGGCUCCUGCAGCCACCCAAGGACGAGGACAGCUGGGCGGUGCCGGAAGCUUCCUGAGGUUUGUGGGUGUCUGCUGCCCGAGGCACUUGUUGGGGAGCAGUCACCGCAGGCACAGCGAGAUCUGCUCCGUUGCAGGGUCACUGAGCCCAGCAUCUCCCCGUGAGAGGCCCCUCACUCUCAGCUUGCUGCGGGGCUGGAGGCUCAGCUGAGGGGCGGGCAGAUGCCACACAGACCACAGGGUGCCAGGGCACUGGGCCUGUGGCCGGCGGUGCCAAGAGGCGGCCUGGCUGGCACAAGGGACGGGCACAUUGGCCUCAGCAGGGGCCGCGCCAGGACGUAUGCCUGGCUGUGUGGCACACUUGGGCACCCCUUCAUGUGAGGUCCUGACCCAGGUUCACCGAGGCUGGGCUGGCCUCCUGUGCAGGAAGAGAGGCUGUCGGGCCUUGUCCCAGCCGGUCACCUGCUGUUGCGGUCUCAGUGAGCUGAUACCUGUGAGCCUGUUCGUUCACCACUCUCCGGGUGACAACAGGACCCGCCUCUGAGUGAGCGGCACUCCACCCUGGCGGCCAUGGCUGGCUCUGGGACCUGUGAAUGGCCUGUGGCCGCUGCCCUUGGAGGUGACCACUGUGCCUUCUCAGGCCGGCAGGAGAUGCCAUUCCCUGGGACUUCUCCUACACCCACAGGUCCGGGGCAGGGGCAGGUGGUGGAGACCAGGCUCUGGGGUGACUGUGCCUGGGAGCAGCCUCCUGCAUCAGGUGCAGCCACUGGACCCGCAGAGUCAGGGGCCCAGCAGGAGCUGCCUGGCCAGGCUUGUCCUGAAGCUGGGAAUGGGGACACAGAGAAGGCAAUCUCGCCCACACCCCACCACUGCCUGGGCCCACCGAGCCUGAGAGGGGAAGGCAGCUCCUCCCCAGUGUGAGCCCCGGGGCCUCGGGCUGGGGUCCUGCCCCCGUCCAGGCUCAGGGUCCUCUCUCUGCUCCCCUGGUCUCUCCCUCACCACCCACCCGCCUCUCUACUGAGGGCCAAGCACUCCACUGGACCCAAGCUAGAAGAGGGGGCGGAAUGGGGAGGGUUGUGAAUCACCACUUCCCAAAUUAGUGCAUAAUCACACACAGGAACUGCUGAGAAGGAAGGGAAGAGGGGCUGGAAGCAGAGCAUCCAGCGAGAAACCUGGCCUGGACUGGGAUCCGGGAAGGCUUCCUGGAGGAGGUGGCAGGAGCCAGGCUCUGAAUGGUCACCGACGAUGAGGGCGCACCUGCUGUCCUGGAGCUUCCGGCCUGCGUUCAGGGACCCGGGAGCCUUCUGGCCGGCUGCGUGCGGAGCCCGCUGGGCGUGGUGGUCGGCCUGGUGUGAGGUCUCCCGGGGACCGGCAGUGUGUUCAGGGAAGGGACGGCCCUGAGCCCAGGGGCUCACUGAGUCUAUUUCUUCCCGCCGCUCAGCCUGUGGCUGCCCUGGCUCAUGAGGCAGUCGGAACUCGUGACUUGCUGGCUGCUGCUGCCUCACGUGCUGGGGUUACAUGGAGGAACUGGGCCUGCCGCCCCGGCCUCGCCUGCUGCCUCGCCUGCUGGGGUCCCAUGGAGGGACCAGGCCUGGUGCCCCGGCCUUGGCCAGCAGCUGGUGUGGGCAGCUGUGCCCGCCUCGCAGUGUCCUGGAGGCAGCCGUCUCACAGACUCAGCUUGGUCUCCCGCAGGCUUCAGAAAAACCCAAUUGCACGUGUGGGGUCCUUCCCCAGCCCUUGGGUGCGGGGUCUCUGUGCACUUGAGAGCUGGGGGACCUGCCCACCAUCUCCCGCUCCGAGUGCAUCCCAGAGCGUGGGGCCCGCUGGGCACCCAGCACCCGGCCUGCAAGGCCACCUGUCCCCCAGAUGCUGCUACGAGUGACCAGUACUGUGUGGAGGAGGCCCAGGGCCACCCCUGGGAAACCAGGCUUCAGCAGUACAAGGAAAAUGGACUUGCUCUGUUUUGUAAGAGCGUGUUCCUUUUCUCCUUUUUGUCACUUUAAAGACCAAAAAGAAUAAAGAAAGAAAAGAAAAAAA